rnacentral:misc_RNA from 1 species
GAGHUCUGAAACGGGHUGUAGCUGGCCUUCCGAGGCAUGHGCACGCCCUGCUCAUCCACUCUACACCUGUGCACUUACUGUAGGCUUCAGGAGCUUCGAAGCGAGGGHUUAAUCGCUCUCGCCGAGHUGUGUGASUGGGCCUACGUUUACCACAAACUCUUAUAAGUAACAGAAUGUUAAUCGCGUGUAACGCAUCUAUAU